UACAGAGGUCCCAAGCGUUGUUCGGAUUCAUUGGGCGUAAAGGGCGCGUAGGUGGCCCGUUAAGUGGCUGGUGAAAUCCCGGGGCUCAACUCCGGGGCUGCCGGUCAGACUGGCGAGCUAGAGCACGGUAGGGGCAGAUGGAAUUCCCGGUGUAGCGGUGGAAUGCGUAGAGAUCGGGAAGAAUACCAGUGGCGAAGGCGUUCUGCUGGGCCGUUGCUGACACUGAGGCGCGACAGCGUGGGGAGCAAACAGG
rnacentral:rRNA from 1 species